UUGCUUUGUGGAAGACUUUGAAGGUAUUAAACCACGUUGAGUUAUAUAUUGAUUGUUCAAUUCUGGUCCCUAUUGCUCUUGGAUUGACAUAAUCCUGGGUUUUUAUGUUCCUAAUCUUUAUUCCCGACCAAUUUAGUCUCUUGAUUUAAUUUUUAAGCCUUUUUGCAAGCAAUCAUGAAUAGAAACAUGGGAAUCAUGGCGCUGAACAUUUGGUUCAGAAAUGUUUUGCUAUGUGACAUGAAGUUUUUGACAUUGAAUUUCAUUGACUCAGGAUCCUUAAUUUUGACCUGCUGCAUCCUUUCCAUUUAGUUGGGCAAGAAAAUAAUUAACAGUUCGUGGAGAUUAACUUAUUGCUGUUAUAAUCAUCAUCUGCUACUGUGAAAGUACUUUACAGGCUGUUCAAUGGAUGCAAGAAUGGCAUAUCUUGUACGCUGUCCUUUAGUUGGUGGGGCCUCUGCAUUGCAGCAGUUUAAAGCCACCUGGUUUUCUGUAGAAACACUGUCCUCGUUAUUGUUUUAUUUCUAUCUGGGCAACCACGAUAUAUGAACUCGUUGUCGAUUGUCUUGUUUAAUUAUGUAACAUUGACCCACAUCUUGGCAUCCAUGAAAAUUUGUUUUUUUCGUAUCUCUUGGUAGCCUUGAAAAAUUGUUAUCUUUAAUCUUCCCCCCUUCCCCGAGGAGAAUCUUGUGUUGUCAAGUCUUACUCGAUUAUGUAUGGGCAGGUGCAAAGAUGAAAAUAAAGGAGAACGGAUUCCGUGCUUGUUUCGAAUUCUUGACAUCCUUCCUAAAGUAAUUUGAUAGGUCAGGAAGGAGCUUGUGCAUGGUAGAAUGGAGACAUCGAUGGCACUAAAAGUGACUGCUCAUCUUAUUUUUGGCGGUUUACAUGGAACCGUAGAAGCGUAAAGACUUGCACAGUGCACAGUGAUCUUAAAGUAAGUAAUUUUCACGGAAUGAUAUGUGAAUAUCCUGUGUGAACUCAGUUCCAUUGUAUGCAUAUUAACCGAGCUGAAAAAGUUUACCUGCAAGUUAUAUCCCAAAAUAGCCUAGUCUCUAGACUUGGAAAAGAUGAGCAUUUGGAGGAAAGCUUUGUGAAUUUACGACGCCGGUUCAACCAAUCACUGCGAAGGAUGCUUAUUCAACAGCCUGUUUUUUGGAUGCCACGUGGCAGAAAGCUGCCGCUUGCAAUUCCAUCCGUAGGUUCUGAUGUAUAUCUCGGUGUUCUGACAUGAAUCCAUCAUAUGAUAACAAGGUAUUGGACAAAGGGCACGACAUUCCUUCAGGAUGUUUGAUUGCAUAAACUAAAAUAAUUGAACCUUGUUCCAGCACACAAAUUGUCCUCACCUUCGGUUUAUUCAAUUGCUUUCUUGUUCUCCCUCCGAGCUUCCAUGCUUAUGGCCAUGCCUUGGCACUGGACUAGGUCGCAACCAACUUGGGCCAGGUGCCAUGUUCAUGCAUCAAUGUGGAUAUAGCAGAUCCUAGUGGGGUCUAUUCUUCAGCUGAGAAUUGUCCGAACUCUUUUUCCUAUCGUAAGGACAUUUCAGCGAGAGCCUAAUUAAUGUCCCUGAAGUCAUAUGCUUAUCAUCACCGGUGCUGAAAAUUCAAGCUCUUGUAUAAUACAUAAUGUAAUCAUAAGAAGAGAUGUCAGUGGUAAAAUUUAAGA